GUCACAAGAGGUUAUGGGGUUUCUUCUUUGGGCCAGCCUGCAAAACCAUCUGGACGUGGAGCUGCUCCCGUUGGCCGCAUUGGAGGAGGGGAUUGGAACCGGAGUUGUCCUCCAGCAUCAGCUGAUCCCUGGUUGUGCGAUGGCCGCAUGGGGGGAUGCUUGGGAGGGGUGGGGGCGGCCGGUGCCAGCAGGUGGCAGCAGGGCUCUGUCACAAAUCUCAUCCUCCAUUCCGAACUCCGAACCCUUCCUUAGGACAACCUACGAUCAACCCACAAGCCUGGAGCUGCUGCCCUGCGUCCUCCUGCCCCGUAUUGCUGCAGAGGUGCUCCCGUAGCAACGGGGCUUUGUGGUUCGGGUGCUGUCUCCAACCCUGGAAGGGACAACGUGGCCCUGAUGUUGUGCCAUGCGCUGCCCUGAUCCCAGAGCUGGCUCAGACCAAGCGCGCAGCGUGUGGCUGCGGGUCUCCUCUGUGUCUGGCAGCCCUGCUGGAGCUGUGGGAUGCGUUUGGGGAACUCUCCAUCAUAGCAGGACUCGGUGAUCACCACAGCUGUGCUCAGAGCAGCAGGACUUUUGUUCUCUGCAUCCUUUGUCGCAGCCCCAGCGGUGACGCAGCAGCAAUCCCGCACCCGGGGCAGCGCACAGCCCCGCCGCGUUGGCAAAUAUCCUGUUGCUGCUUCCUGGUUGGAUCCUGGAUCCUGGAGGGGCAGGGACAGCCCGUGCGGCCCCAGAACCGGGUUUGUGCGCUUAGGUCAAUGCGUAAGGAGAGCUCCUGCAGAACCCAACUGCUGCAACCACGCCGGCUCCGUCCUGGGGUGGCCACGUCCUGGGGUCAGCUUUGCUCCGGGACGCACUGCAGCAGGGGGGUGGCAGGGAAUCAGCUCUGCUCUCACCCUGCGUGUGGGACUCCAUCUGCUAUGGAGACCCUACAGUGCUAUAGGAUGGGAUGUGUGACCCAGCUUGGGAUGCAAGGCCCAUUUUCGGAUGCAGGAUGCAGCUUCACUGGGACACCCAACCCUGCGUGCAGAGCUGAGCAGAUCCCAUGUUCACCCCAUUAGGUAUUAGCCUGUAGGAAGGUGUUAGACAUGUUUCAAAUGUCAAAAUCAACCCUAAAGGAAGCUGAAGCAACCUGACCAGCAGCAGUGAAGCAAACUUGGAACAGUCUUGUGUUACCCCGGGGCUGCUGCUGCUUUGGGGAAGCUGGUGGCAAGUUUCCUCACCAAGCGGGGUGAUUUCAGGGCUUCCACUCACCCUUAGGAAAUCACAACUGUUCCUUUUCAUUCCUCUGAAAGGCAUUUGCAAAUCAGCCUUUCAAAUCAGUUGCUGUGUGCGUUCACGGCAUGAAGCUGCACAGUGGCAUCUCAGGCAUUUCCAACCCCCUGAAAGCAGCCAUUCAUAGCUGCCUCCGUGCAAACCCGAGAUGUUGGGAGCCAAACACUGGUGUUGUGCAGCCAAAGUGUCCUAAAAAUGGUUCUUCCCCCAUCUCUGUCACCCACCACUGCAGCCUG